AUUGAACGCUGGCGGCAGGCCUAACACAUGCAAGUCGAGCGGAUGAAGGGAGCUUGCUCCUGGAUUCAGCGGCGGACGGGUGAGUAAUGCCUAGGAAUCUGCCUGGUAGUGGGGGAUAACGUCCGGAAACGGGCGCUAAUACCGCAUAGGUCCUGAGGGGGAAAGUGGGGGAUCUUCGGACCUCACGCUAUCAGAUGAGCCUAGGUCGGAUUAGCUAGUUGGUGGGGUAAAGGCCUACCAAGGCGACGAUCCGUAACUGGUCUGAGAGGAUGAUCAGUCACACUGGAACUGAGACACGGUCCAGACUCCUACGGGAGGCAGCAGUGGGGAAUAUUGGACAAUGGGCGAAAGCCUGAUCCAGCCAUGCCGCGUGUGUGAAGAAGGUCUUCGGAUUGUAAAGCACUUUAAGUUGGGAGGAAGGGCAGUAAGUUAAUACCUUGCUGUUUUGACGUUACCAACAGAAUAAGCACCGGCUAACUUCGUG
rnacentral:rRNA from 1 species